rnacentral:lncRNA from 1 species
UAGAGAAAGAGAAAGAUAAAAGAGAGAGAAAGGAGAGAAAAACGAAGAUAGAAAGCAGCAUUAGAAAUAGAAUUUCAUACAUCGAGUAUUUUAAUCACAUACUUUCAAAGCGGAGGAACGAUUUUCAACAUACUGUAGAUUCAACGAAGUAAGAUACAUUUAUGUGCAAAGUGUUUACGUUUCCUUAUACUCUUAUAUGCGAUUAAAUAUACAUGGAAUGCUAGUGGACCUUCGGGUUCUAGAGAAAGAGAUGAAAUUUCUACAUGAAAAUUAAGAGG